CUAGAUGCUAGAAACACAAACACAUCCGCCAGGGGACUACGAGCGCUAGCUUAAAACCCAAAGGACUUGACGGUGUCUCAGAUCCCCCUAGAGGAGCCUGUUCUAGAACCGAUACUCCCCGUUAAACCUCACCACCCCUUGUCCCCGCCGCCUAUAUACCGCCGUCGCAAGCUUACCCUGUGAAGGUCUUAAAGUAAGCAAAAUGGGGUGCCCCCCAAAACGUCAGGUCGAGGUGUAGCUUACGAGGUGGGAAGAAAUGGGCUACAUUUUCUAUAAUAGAACAUACGGACGGCACUAUGAAACUUUAGUGCCUGAAGGCGGAUUUAGCAGUAAAAAA
rnacentral:rRNA from 1 species